GCCCCUUGCCGCAGACUUAACAUGCAAGUCGACGGCAGCGCGGGGCAACCUGGCGGCGAGUGGCGAACGGGUGAGUAAUAUAUCGGAACGUGCCCUGGAGUGGGGGAUAACGCAGCGGAAGUUGCGCUAAUACCGCAUACGAUCUAAGGAUGAAAGCGGGGGAUUCGCAAGAACCUCGUGCUCCUGGAGCGGCCGAUAUCUGAUUAGCUAGUUGGUGGGGUAAAGGCCUACCAAGGCAUCGAUCAGUAGCUGGUCUGAGAGGACGACCAGCCACACUGGAACUGAGACACGGUCCAGACUCCUACGGGAGGCAGCAGUGGGGAAUUUUGGACAAUGGGCGAAAGCCUGAUCCAGCAAUGCCGCGUGAGUGAAGAAGGCCUUCGGGUUGUAAAGCUCUUUUGUCAGGGAAGAAACGGUGAAGGCUAAUAUCCUUUGCUAAUGACGGUACCUGAAGAAUAAGCACCGGCUAACUACGUGCCAGCAGCCGCGGUAAUACGUAGGGUGCAAGCGUUAAUCGGAAUUACUGGGCGUAAAGCGUGCGCAGGCGGUUUUGUAAGUCUGUCGUGAAAUCCCCGGGCUCAACCUGGGAAUUGCGAUGGAGACUGCAAGGCUAGAAUCUGGCAGAGGGGGGUAGAAUUCCACGUGUAGCAGUGAAAUGCGUAGAGAUGUGGAGGAACACCGAUGGCGAAGGCAGCCCCCUGGGUCAAGAUUGACGCUCAUGCACGAAAGCGUGGGGAGCAAACAGGAUUAGAUACCCUGGUAGUCCACGCCCUAAACGAUGUCUACUAGUUGUCGGGUUUUAGUUAACUUGGUAACGCAGCUAACGCGUGAAGUAGACCGCCUGGGGAGUACGGUCGCAAGAUUAAAACUCAAAGGAAUUGACGGGGACCCGCACAAGCGGUGGAUGAUGUGGAUUAACUCGAUGCAACGCGAAAAACCUUACCUACCCUUGACAUGUACGGAAGCCACGAGAGAUCGAGGCGUGCUCGAAGAGAGCCGUACACAGGUGCUGCAUGCUGUCGUCAGCUCGUGUCGUGAGAAUGUAGGUUAAGUCCCGCACGAGCGCAUCCUGUCAUUAGUGCUACGAAGAGCACUCUAAUGAAACUGCGGUGAACAAACGAGAGUGCGGGAAUAUGACGUUCAAGUCUCUAUGGCUUAAGUAAGUCUUCCACGCUUACAUGUUGGACUACGAAAGUCGUCAGUCUCGCAAGGGGACCAUAAUC
rnacentral:rRNA from 1 species